rnacentral:lncRNA from 1 species
CAGGCUGAGUGUUUUAGGCCAUUCUUGCAUUGUUAUAAGGAAUAAUAUAUAAAGAGAAGAGGUUUAACUGGCUUAUGUUCUUCAGGCUGUACAGGAAGCAUGAUUUUGGCAUCUGCUUGGCUUCUGGGGAAGCCUCAGGAAGCGUACAACCAUGGCAAAGGCAAAGAGUGAGCAGGCAUGUCACAUAGCCAGAGGAGGAGCAAGAGAGACAGAGAGUGGGGCAAGGGGAGGUGCCACACACUUUUAAACCACAUGAUCUCAAAUGAACUCAGAUAGAGAGUUCUUAUUACCAAGGGAAUGGCCCAAGCCAUUCAUGAGGGAUCUGCUCCCAUGAUCCAAACACCUACCACCAGGCCCUACCUCCAACAUUGGGGAUUACAAUUCAACAUGAGAUUUGGUGGGGACAUACAUUUAAACUCUAUUAGUGAGGUAGCAAAUUAUUGUAUAAAAUGCUAAGUGGUUUAGGAAUUUAUCCCCUUGAACCCAGACAUAUGCUAUCUAAUAUGGUAGCUACUAG